GGCUUCUCGAAGGGAGGGGAAUGCCCCUCUUAGAACUCUAGAUCAAGCUGGACUUUUUCUGUGGAGCAGGAGACUUAUGAUUCCAGAUCCCUGGACAAAGCUUCCAGGGCAUGGUCAUGUCUGACUCACAGGAACCCGGUGAAGGGCAGGGCUGCUAUCUGCGGUCCUCCUGCCUCAUAGCUGAGCCUGGGUGUUCAGAGGCUGGCUGGUGAACGAGUCACCUCAGCCAGCCUGUAGUGCGGCUAGCACCAGCAGCAACCUAAGAGCAGCCGAGCUUUGAUUUUUUUUCCCCAGGUGUGAGUAGGAUAAAUUUCAGAAGUGAAAUCACUAUGUCAAAGGCCCCCCGGUACAUAGUUGUAUAUUCUUCAUUGUGGGUCCUUCUAGUUGUGGCAUGUGGGACGCUGCUCAGUGUGGUUUGAUGAGCAGUGCCAUGUCCGCGCCCAGGAUUCGAACCAACAAAACACUGGGCCGCCUGCAGCGGAGCACGCGAACUUAACCACUCGGCCACGGGGCCAGCCCUUCGCCCACUUUUUAGAAGCAAAAUUCAUGCUUUCCUGUCCUAAAGGUAGAAGUUUGUUCUACUUCUUCGAACUUGGGAGAUUCGAGUAAACUUCAGCCUUGCCAGAAACAUCCUUCCUCUGGAAAACUCCAGUAGGCCCUCCCUGCUCACCUUCCUCCAUCUACCUCUCUGCUGCAAGAAGUGUAUGUUUGGCUCCUGCACAAGAAAAUGCACUGGCGUUUUUUUACCAGGGAGUGUCUAGUAAUUUCUAAGUGAGUUUCUGAAACCUCCAAGCUAGACUUUUUUUUUUCCUUAAGCAAAUAAAGCCUGAGAGGUGAAGCAUCUUCAAAGAGUUGUGUGCACUCAGCAACUUUGGUGUGUUAGUUUGUCUUUCAAUCUGCCUUACUCAGGGUACUUAUCUCUUAGAAAGGGAGAUUAUUACCCCCAGACUGGGUUGGAAACCGCUUCGCUGACAGGUUUAAGAGUCUUAACAAUUUAUUUACAGCAGAAAAGGCAAAACUGUGCAAAAUGGCAGACUUCAUUCUCCCUGCAAGGGUCAGCUGGGUGGGGAGGGAAGUGGAAUCAAAAUGGGGAACCUCUCAACUGUGCUCAGAAAGGUUGGGCUUCCUGUGGGAGGGAGGUUGGGGUAGGGGUGAACAUUGGCAUUUCCUCCUGAGCAACCAGUUAUCUCCUUGAAUAGAGACAACUGCUAAACUGACAAGCCCUUCACCGGUAACCGUUGAUCUGGCUUAUGACUCAAGACUUAAAAGAACCCUAGAGUUGUCGCAAUUACUCUUCCUGUUUCUCACACCCAGAAAGCUAGACCAAUAAUAGAAUCACGCCGUUGAGUUUCUCCUGACCUUGCUUUUGGUACCCAGUUGAAGAGUCUUUUCCUUGGACGUGGCAGAAUCUGAACUAUGACUAAUACAUACAGAUUUGCAAGAAGAGGACAAGAGAGUGUGUUUAUGUUUCUCUCUCCCUAGCAGCUCCUCCUAGUCUAAUAUAGGGAAGAUACUAGGAGCUCCAUAAAUGUUUGUCAUAUGAUUGAAUGAAUAAAUGGACAAAUACAUUUUCUGUCUCGUUUUAACAGUACUCUGGAGUAUUGGGAGGUGAAAAUACUUCCACAUAUAAAUUUAUUCCUCCUGUUUCUAAUACUGGUAGCAAUAUUUCAAGCUAAUUUAUAACAAAGGAGCAAGUUAGAAU
ensembl:lncRNA